GGCAUAUCACUAACAAUAUACUGACGCUGAUGAACGAAAGCGUAGGUAGCCAACAGGAUUAGAUACCCUGGUAGUCUACGCUGUAAACGAUGGUUACUAGCUGUUCGUCACGCCUUAGGCGAGAUGAGUGGUUAAGCGAAAGUGAUAAGUAACCCACCUGGGGAGUACGUUUGCAAGAAUGAAACUCAAAGGAAUUGACGGGGGCCCGCACAAGCGGUGGAGCAUGUGGUUUAAUUCGAUGAUACGCGAGGAACCUUACCAAGGCUUAAAUGCAUAUUGACGAUUCACGAAAGUGGAUUUUCUUCGGACAAUUUGCAAGGUGCUGCAUGGUUGUCGUCAGCUCGUGCCGUGAGGUGUCAGGUUAAGUCCUAUAACGAGCGCAACCCCUGUGGUUAGUUACCAGCAUGUAAUGAUGGGGACUCUAGCCAGACUGCCGGUGCAAACCGUGAGGAAGGUGGGGAUGACGUCAAAUCAUCACGGCCCUUACGCCUUGGGCUACACACGUGCUACAAUGGUAUAUACAAUGAGCAGCCAUCUGGCGACAGAGCGCUAAUCUAUAAAGUAUAUCACAGUUCGAAUCGGAGUCUGCAACUCGACUCUGUGAAGCUGGAAUCGCUAGUAAUCGCACAUCAGCCAUGGUGCGGUGAAUACGUUCCCGGGCCUUGUACACACCGCCCGU
rnacentral:rRNA from 1 species